AUUGAACGCUGGCGGCAGGCCUAACACAUGCAAGUCGAACGGUAACAGGAAACAGCUUGCUGUUUCGCUGACGAGUGGCGGACGGGUGAGUAAUGUCUGGGAAACUGCCUGAUGGAGGGGGAUAACUACUGGAAACGGUAGCUAAUACCGCAUAACGUCGCAAGACCAAAGAGGGGGACCUUCGGGCCUCUUGCCAUCGGAUGUGCCCAGAUGGGAUUAGCUAGUAGGUGGGGUAACGGCUCACCUAGGCGACGAUCCCUGGCUGGUCUGAGAGGAUGACCAGCCACACUGGAACUGAGACACGGUCCAGACUCCUACGGGAGGCAGCAGUGGGGAAUAUUGCACAAUGGGCGCAAGCCUGAUGCAGCCAUGCCGCGUGUAUGAAGAAGGCCUUCGGGUUGUAAAGUACUUUCAGCGGGGAGGAAGGGAGUAAAGUUAAUACCUUUGCUCAUUGACGUUACCCGCAGAAGAAGCACCGGCUAACUCCGUG
rnacentral:rRNA from 1 species